AGUAAAAGUCGCCCAAAAUUUCCGUAGGUGAACCUGCGGAAGGAUCAUUACCCGAAAUAUGAACGGGUUGUAGCUGGCCUCAAUACGGGGCAUGUGCACGCCUGGCUCAUCCACUCCUUAACUUCUGUGCACCUUUUGUAGGCUGGUUGAAAGGCGUUAUGCUUCACUUCGGUGUUGUGUAUCGCUGGAAGGCCUGGUCUAUGUUUUACUACAAACGCUUCAGUUAUAGAAUGUCUAUCUGCGUAUAACGCAUUUAUAUACAACUUUCAGCAACGGAUCUCUUGGCUCUCGCAUCGAUGAAGAACGCAGCGAAAUGCGAUAAGUAAUGUGAAUUGCAGAAUUCAGUGAAUCAUCGAAUCUUUGAACGCACCUUGCGCUCCCUGGUAUUCCGGGGAGCAUGCCUGUUUGAGUGUCAUGGAAUUCUCAACUUCUAAUACUUUUCUUGAGUAUUGGAAGCUUGGAUUUGGAGGCUUGUGCUGGCUCCUCUGUUGAGUCGGCUCCUCUUAAAUGGAUUAGCGUGAAUCACUAUGGAUCGCUUCGGUGUGAUAAUUAUCUGCGCCGUGGUCGUGAAGUAUCGAUAAGUUCGCGCUUCUAACCGUCCCUUCACGGGACAAUUUACCCUGACUUUUGACCUCAAAUCAGGUAGGACUACCCGCUGAACUUAAGCAUAUCAAUAAGCGGAGGA
rnacentral:rRNA from 1 species